rnacentral:rRNA from 1 species
ACGCUCGACACCUACAGGAGGCAGCAGUGGGGGAAUAUUGCACAAUGGGGGAAACCCUGAUGCAGCGACGCCGCGUGGAGGAAGAAGGUCUUCGGAUUGUAAACUCCUGUUGUUGGGGAAAAAGAGGAUGGUACCCAACAAGGAAGUGACGGCUAACUACGUGCCAGCAGCCGCGGUAAUCUGAGCGGGCUGGCAAGGC